rnacentral:tRNA from 1 species
GGGUAUACAGCUCAGAGGUAUAGCAUUUGCCUAGUAUGCACAAGGCCCUAGGUUCAAUCCCUAGCAUUACUCC